rnacentral:lncRNA from 1 species
GUGGAAGAAUGACAGGAGCAGGUCGCAAAGGUCCCCUUUCGGUGAAUGCUCGGCCAUCACAAUUUUCAAUUGCCAAGGCAAGCUCAAAACUGUGGACGGUAUAUGCAUAAUGAUUGAGAACCUGAUAUUCUUAAGAUAUCCAACAUUCCAUCUGCAAGAGGAUAUUAAAUUAUGAUUUAGAAACUCAAAUUACGGUGGAUCUGAAAAUCAAACUGUGGAUGGUAUAUGCAUAAUGAUUGAGUACCUGAUAUGCUUAAGAUAUCCAACAUUCCAUCUGCAAGAGGGUAUUAAAUUAUGAUUUAGAAACUCAAAUUACAGUGGAUCUGUAAUGUAUUUUGUUCUCGUUCAUGGAGAAGUUCCAUUUGAC